AGCAAAGCAAAAUGGGGUCGCUCACGCUACAGUUCUAUGUCGCUGGCCCCAACCUGAGGUGUUUAUCUGACCUUCUGGGAAUUGAUCAGAGGGAGAUACCAGCCAAACCCUCUAGCAGCCCAGUUUUCCCCUGAAGACACCUUUGCUUUCAUCCUUACCAAAAAAGUAGCUUUGAAAUGAUCAGCUUCUUUCUAGGGCCUUGUCUCUCGUCUCUUCCGCCUACCUGAUUUCUGGCCUCACCGCAGGGCAGAGCUCCCCGGGCCUUGUGCCUCAGAGGGCAGCACCAUCCUGGAACCCUUUCCUUCCCAGGUAAACUCUGUGCAAUCCGCUUGUUCUGAGGGUUUUCUAUUAUUAAGCGCCACUGAGAAAUCCUGUGGAGCAAUCAUGCUGAAGGCCACUGGAUGUCACUGCACAGUUAGUGAGGCUUCUAAAAUCCUCUGUUCCCUUAGGAAAAAUCCCGCGGAUGGUUCAUGAUGCUCCUCCGAGACCCCGGGUGGAGAAUGAGCCACAGCCACACUUGAAGUCACCUACAAACCACAGGGUCCUGCGACUUCCAGGUGCAUGUGUUCCGUGGAUGCCCAGAGCCGCUGCGACCUCUGUUUAUGACCUGUGGACCCCUCAAUGGCAGGCCCCCAGGUGUCUCUGAAGCAGAGGUGGAAAGAUUGCCCAGACAAGAGGAGAUACCCUUCCUGUGCCUUUUGUCCCUUAUGCCCCUGAGGAAAGCCCGCACACCUGGGCUCCGGGGAACAUGAACAACCUCUCUGUGUCUCACUCACUACCCGGGCUCUGGGAAGACCCUCCUUCCAUUGGGGACCAGUGGGAGGUUGAGGGGGGUUAACUUGAGAGAUAGUGAGACUAUGAAAAAACUAAACCUUUCCAAGGGCAACCAGGGACGAAGCCCUGGGCACCUCACCCUCUGUGCAGGAACAUUCUAAUGUUCAGACAACAGCCGUGGGCUGCUGAGUGCACUUCCCAGUCACCACCUCCACUGUGAGACACUUCCUGCUCCUCCUUUUAGACUGGAUUGCACGGGCCAAGAACAGUGAGAAAUUCGUGACAGAGCUGGCUGUCCUCUCCCGCUCUAGCAGACGCCAGAUGCUACGAGUGAGGCCAUGAGUCAUCUCUGACAAGCCUGAGGCCUCCUGUGGAACAGUGUGAGUGUUUUAUUGACAAAAGUCUGGCUUUCUUUCUUUCAUUUUUUUAAACAGGCUAAGCUACUUUGCAAAACAAGCCCUUCCAGGCAUGCACUUACAGAAACAUCAUUUUUCUAACACGAUGCAUGGGUGCAGGGGACAGACUUGGUGGUAGAGACCUGGGAAAUUCCGUGCCACUUUCUCUACAAAGCAGAGGGGCUGGUGGCUGCUUGGAGGCAGGAUUGGUACAGCUGCCUUUGGGGGCUUCUCCUGGCUAAAGUGAGGGGCUGAGUGUCUAAAGCCAAGGACAAACCAUGAUACUAGUUCCUAUUAGUGACGUGGAAGUCCUUAGGUACUGGGUGGGUAAAUGUCUCAUCGGCUGUGCAAUUUCAGAUGUGUCACUGUGGCUUACGCUCAGCCCUGGAUCAAUACAGAAGAAAAAACACCCGCACAGGUUGGGCUGGUUAUCUUGUGAGAAUUUACGGAGGGAAGCAGAAGCCACCUGAGGGUUGGAAACUGUUUCCCAGUUCCUUUCCAGGAGCUUCUGAAGAGCCCCAGGGUCCUCUGUGGUCUUCCACAUUUAGUUAAUAUUUUUGCUCUUUUUUCCUGAUUAUGGAGGUCAGGGAUUUGGACAAGACCAAGGUGAGAGGGAUAUGGAAGUGGCUAUCACUCCCACCAGAGGCAAUGUGGCCAGAGGCUAAAGAACACCAAAGCUGGUCCCCUGGUCCCUGAGUUUUGGUUCCCUAGAGUUGCCCUCUGGUUCUCUAUAAAUCCAUCUCCCCCACACUCUCCCAUAUCUCACCCUGCAGGACCCAUGCUGGGCUCUUCAAGGUCAGCUCAGUGCAUGGGAAUGAAAAGCAAGCCCAGGACCCUGUAGAACUGAGUCCCAAGAGGCAGCUGCCACAAACCCAGAGCCGCCCUCGGCUGCCACCAACAGCUUUGGGAGUUCUCUUGGGUUUGUCUUUGCAGGGCUGGAGACGAAUCCAGGACCUCGAACAUGCUGGGCAAGUGCUCUACCGCUGAGCCACACCCAGAGUGCGUCUCUGAGUUUCUGCUGUCAAGGCACACUGUACUAGAAUGUGUCUGCAGAACCCCAGGCUGACAUGUUCUCCCCAGACGGACCCUGCUCCUUCCCCAGAGUCCUAUGGUGCACACUCACAUUCACACAACACACACUCAUAGUGACCCACACAGCCGUACAUCCACACUCACCCCUAACCACACUACACCCUGUUAUGGUGGAUGCACUGUCAACUCCAGCAGUUUAGAAGUUUAACUAAGAGACUCAGCAGGGAGCCAGGGUUCUUACUUUGUAAACAUCCUCAGCCUGUGGGGGAAGAGGACACAGGUGGUGUGAGUGCUACACCCCCACUGUGAGUGGGGCGUGGGGUGGCCUGUGUACAAUAUAAGGGAGGAAAAGAGGCUUGCUCUUCCCCCUUUUGUUCUGGCUGCCGCUCCUGUGCCACGCCACCCUUUCUUGGAGCCAACUGAUUAUGGACUGAAACUUCCACAAACAGUGAGCAAAUAAAUCUUUCCUUCAUUUA